rnacentral:rRNA from 1 species
GACGAACGCUGGCGGCGUGCUUAACACAUGCAAGUCGAACGGAAAGGCCCUGCUUUUGUGGGGUGCUCGAGUGGCGAACGGGUGAGUAACACGUGAGUAACCUGCCCUUGACUUUGGGAUAACUUCAGGAAACUGGGGCUAAUACCGGAUAGGAGCUCCUGCUGCGUGGUGGGGGUUGGAAAGUUUCGGCGGUUGGGGAUGGACUCGCGGCUUAUCAGCUUGUUGGUGGGGUAGUGGCUUACCAAGGCUUUGACGGGUAGCCGGCCUGAGAGGGUGACCGGCCACAUUGGGACUGAGAUACGGCCCAGACUCCUACGGGAGGCAGCAGUGGGGAAUAUUGCACAAUGGGCGGAAGCCUGAUGCAGCAACGCCGCGUGCGGGAUGACGGCCUUCGGGUUGUAAACCGCUUUCGCCUGUGACGAAGCGUGAGUGACGGUAAUGGAUAAAGAAGCACCGGCUAACUACGUGCCAGCAGCCGCGGUGAUACGUAGGGUGCGAGCGUUGUCCGGAUUUAUUGGGCGUAAAGGGCUCGUAGGUGGUUGAUCGCGUCGGAAGUGUAAUCUUGGGGCUUAACCCUGAGCGUGCUUUCGAUACGGGUUGACUUGAGGAAGGUAGGGGAGAAUGGAAUUCCUGGUGGAGCGGUGGAAUGCGCAGAUAUCAGGAGGAACACCAGUGGCGAAGGCGGUUCUCUGGGCCUUUCCUGACGCUGAGGAGCGAAAGCGUGGGGAGCGAACAGGCUUAGAUACCCUGGUAGUCCACGCUGUAAACGGUGGGUACUAGGUGUGGGGUCCAUUCCACGGGUUCCGUGCCGUAGCUAACGCUUUAAGUACCCCGCCUGGGGAGUACGGCCGCAAGGCUAAAACUCAAAGGAAUUGACGGGGCCCCGCACAAGCGGCGGAGCAUGCGGAUUAAUUCGAUGCAACGCGUAGAACCUUACCUGGGUUUGACAUGGAUCGGGAGUGCUCAGAGAUGGGUGUGCCUCUUUUGGGGUCGGUUCACAGGUGGUGCAUGCCUGUCGUCAGCUCGUGUCGUGAGAUGUUGGGUUAAGUCCCGCAACGAGCGCAACCCUUGUUCACUGUUGCCAGCACGUUAUGGUGGGGACUCAGUGGAGACCGCCGGGGUCAACUCGGAGGAAGGUGGGGAUGACGUCAAGUCAUCAUGCCCCUUAUGUCCAGGGCUUCACGCAUGCUACAAUGGCUGGUACAGAGAGUGGCGAGCCUGUGAGGGUGAGCGAAUCUCGGAAAGCCGGUCUCAGUUCGGAUUGGGGUCUGCAACUCGACCUCAUGAAGUCGGAGUCGCUAGUAAUCGCAGAUCAGCAACGCUGCGGUGAAUACGUUCCCGGG